rnacentral:rRNA from 1 species
UACGUAGGGGGCAAGCGUUGUCCGGAUUUAUUGGGCGUAAAGAGCGUGUAGGCGGCCAGACAGGUCCGUUGUGAAAACUCGAGGCUCAACCUCGAGAUGUCGAUGGAAACCGUCUGGCUAGAGUCCGGAAGAGGAGUGUGGAAUUCCUGGUGUAGCGGUGAAAUGCGCAGAUAUCAGGAAGAACACCCGUGGCGAAGGCGGCUCUCUGGGACGGUACUGACGCUGAGACGCGAAAGCGUGGGGAGCAAACAGG